rnacentral:rRNA from 1 species
AUUGAACGCUGGCGGCAGGCCUAACACAUGCAAGUCGAGCGGAUGAAGGGAGCUUGCUCCUGGAUUCAGCGGCGGACGGGUGAGUAAUGCCUAGGAAUCUGCCUGGUAGUGGGGGAUAACGUCCGGAAACGGGCGCUAAUACCGCAUACGUCCUGAGGGAGAAAGUGGGGGAUCUUCGGACCUCACGCUAUCAGAUGAGCCUAGGUCGGAUUAGCUGGUUGGUGGGGUAAAGGCCUACCAAGGCGACGAUCCGUAACUGGUCUGAGGGGAUGAUCAGUCACACUGGAACUGAGACACGGUCCAGACUCCUACGGGAGGCAGCAGUGGGGAAUAUUGGACAAUGGGCGAAAGCCUGAUCCAGCCAUGCCGCGUGUGUGAAGAAGGUCUUCGGAUUGUAAAGCACUUUAAGUUGGGAGGAAGGGCAGUAAGUUAAUACCUUGCUGUUUUGACGUUACCAACAGAAUAAGCACCGGCUAACUUCGUG